UUCUUGUUUGAAAUUGUUUUACAUUUGUCAUUUCGGGGCCUUUUAUAGCUGACUAUGCGGUAUGGGCUUUGCCCAUUGUUGAAGGCUAUACGGUGACCUAUAGUUCUUAAUUUCUGUAUCAUUUGGUGUCUUGAGGAGAGUUGUCUCAUUGGCAAUCAUACCACAUCUUCUUUUUUUAUACACACACAAACAUAUACAUUUGUAUAUAAAGAGUAAUAUUCAUAUUUUGUUUCUUUACAUUCAAAUGUUUAUAAAGUUUUAC
rnacentral:lncRNA from 1 species